CGAUCGAAACGGACAGCCGCGCGCUUGCAUCGAAAGGUGCUUGUGUGAGGAAAGUCCGGGCUCCAUAGGGCAAGAAUAACGGGUAACGCCCGCCGAAGGCGACUUCAGGAAAAGUGCAACAGAGAUAUACCGCCUCAUCGUUUCGAUGAGGUAAGGGUGGAAAGGCGAGGUAAGAGCUCACCCACCGCGUGGGAACACAGCGGUGCUGUAAACUCUAUUCGGAGCAACACCGUGGAGGAGGCAUAUGGUCUGCCCGACCGCUUCCGAGGAGGUGGCUAGAGCGUAUCGGCAACGGUACGUCGAGAUAGAUGGCUGUCGAUUACAGAACCCGGCUUAUAGUUCCGAUCGCAAG
rnacentral:RNase_P_RNA from 1 species